ACUAUCGUUUUGGCGUUGGUUGCGAUCACAUUGGCUACCACAAUGUGUGGUCGCUAAACGUGCAGUAAUAUUGACAAAAAAUUCCCUUCUCGUUCCUUAUUCCAAUCAAACAAGAACCCUAGAUUCCCAAUUAAAGUCACAACACCGCCACACACCAAAAACGGUGCUGCCCUUCGCCUUUUGUGUUUUGUGACCAGGAAAAUCAUUGAGCUUGUUUGUUCAUUUGGAAGAGUUCUCAAUUUUUGGUGGAAGAGGACCCGAUCUCAUCUGCAUAUGUAAAAAGGUAAUUACGAUGUUAUACAUUUGGGUUUUAAAUUAAUCAAAAGGUGCAAAGUGAAUAGAGCGGCAGCCAUUUGGGUUGAGGAGUUGAUGCAUGUUAUGGUUGCUGGUGAUGGAGUUUGUGUUAGCAAACACACGGAGAAGGGGGUGAAAAAUUCUAGAGCUAGUUAACAUGGGACACUGUAAACUAAAUGCAGAGCAACGAUUUCUCAAAUAACUGGAUAUUGUAUUCAAUUAAUUGGUAUGAGCACUGACUGCAUAUAUAUACACCAUCAGAUGUCAACAUUCCCUCUAAUGAAGUUGACCUCGCUAAUGGGAUUCAUUAGCAAGAUAAGAUAAUUUUGGCUUUCUAGAUUUAAUCUAGAUGUUUAAUAUCAAGAAAACUUUAAGUAGCA